rnacentral:misc_RNA from 1 species
GAAAUGCGAUAAGUAAUGUGAAUUGCAGAACCACGAAUCUUUGAACGCACCUUGCGCCUUUUGGUAUUCCGAAAGGCAUGCCUGUUUGAGUGUCAUGAAAUCUCAAUCCCCCCGGGUUUUCUGAACCCGAGGUGGACUUGGACAUGGGUGUCUGCCGUCUCGUACGGCUCGCCUUAAAUGACUCAGUGGGAUCUUCAGCAUCCGUGGCAGACGUAAUAAGUUUCGUCUCGUCCCUUGCUGUGAGGACCGCUCAUAACCUGCCAUCGCGCACCACUUUUGACUCUGACCUCAAAUCAGGUAGGACUACCCGCUGAACUUAA